UGGGUUGUGACUCAGUGGUAGAGUGCUUGCCUAGAAAAAGCCCUGGGUUCGAUCCUCAGCACCACAU
rnacentral:tRNA from 1 species